UCUUCAGUGCAUUGCCAGCAGUGGGAAAAAUUAAUGGCUUGGCUUAUGUUUCCAAUUUCCCUCUCCCACUUCCUCCUCUCGUUUGCCAGGCUUCAUCCUCCCUUCCCCCAGAAGCGAUGGCAGGCUGGCCAUCCACAUCUGCCCUUCUAGAGGCAGCGCAGACGAGGUUUGCAGGGGCUAACACAUGGAGGUAUACAAUUCUCAUAUAUGGAGAGAGAAACCAACUACGUAAGAACAAGUUAUUCCUAUUCAUAAAGGAGGAAACUGAGUUUUUGAAGAAAAAGUUGCACAGGAAAGGAUGAGAUACCAACUAACCCAUUCAGCUGCCUGCAGAAACAAAGUUCCCUCCUCUGCAAGCAAUAUUCAACUAGCUCAGGGGGCUAUUGUCUCUUGGAUGGAGCACCACGUCUGAUUUCCAUCUGUAUUAAAUACUCCUUAAGACUCUCUCCAGCCAUAGAGACGACCUUCACCGAACAGUGUGAAACUCAGAUGGAUUAAGGCCCAUUGCCAAUGCCAGAAUGAAGUAAAGGGAGAUCAUGGGAAGGAAGAGGACCAGCGGUGAUGCCUGUCCUGCACAGCUGCUUCUACAGCCCCUGGGACUGGCUCUAGUCGUAAGAAACAAAAGUAGUAACAGAAUCGGGCCCUUUAAAAAUGAAACAUUUCUAUGAACGUAAGGAUGUGGUUUUCCACCUCCUGAAUCUUUUUAGCUACUUUCUGUCAAGUAGCAGUGACCAGAUGACUGCAAAUAUGUGCAAUUCAUAGGGUCAGUCCCAACUGGUAGCCAACUGCUGCCAUUUUCAGGCAGUCUGAAAUCGCUUCUGGCUCUCUCCCACCCCCAAAUCAUUCAUUCUUCCCUAACGAAGCACACUGUGGACUUACCCGAAGUUCCUGAGGACACCCGUGACCUGCUAGAGUCAGACAGCUGUUCACAAAGACGUGCAUGGGAGAUGUGCUGAACCAAAGGAGCCGCUCCUUUGGGAUCACAGGGGCCAGGCCAAGCUGUCACCUGUGAGGAUUUAACCACUCUGGUUAGAAAUCCUGUCCUGUUAGAAAACCAGCGUCUGCACCUGUGAGAGGUUUGUUUACAGGCUUUUUUCCAAACCUAAACUAGCCCCCACCAUCUUUUUCUCUUCACCACCACUGAAACUUUUUCCAGACUCUACUGAGCCUUUAAGGAGCACAAUCACUACAGCAUGUCCUGCGGCAUUCAGUGACAAAUGUUUUCCUGAACAAAGAUGAGUAGAUUUAUAAAUUUAAAAACCGAGCAAGAAAAGUAACUUUUCAGAUCGUCUUUUGUGAUAUAAAAUCAAUUGUCAGGUUUUGUUUGCUUGUUUUUGUUUCUUAACUUAAGUUUUAAAUUGACUGCUACACUGGAAAUCCAUUUCUUCUUCUCCUUCCCAUUGAAAGAUGAACUCUUCAACUAUUAAAUUGUACCCAUAGCUGAUGGCUUGCUGUGCAGUCCAUUUUUAAAAGUGCAUGAAAGCGUACUGUAACCAGAAUACCCCAAAGCAAAGCUGCCAUGCAGAAAUCUGA